ACAUGCCUACAACAUAGCGUUAAUGCACUGGAUCCCAUUAUAACUUUGUAGUUAAGCACGCUCAGGCUAGAGUAGUACUGGGAUGGGUGACUGCUCAGGAAGUCCUAGUAUUUUACAUGCU
rnacentral:rRNA from 1 species